GUGACAAACCCGAGGAAGGUGGGGAUGACGUCAAAUCAUCAUGCCCCUUAUGACCUGGGCUACACACGUGCUACAAUGGACAGUACAAUGAGCAGCGACACGGCGACGUGAAGCGAAUCUCAUAAAGCUGUUCUCAGUUCGGAUUGUAGGCUGCAACUCGCCUACAUGAAGCCGGAAUCGCUUGUAAUCGCGGAUCAGCACGCCGCGGUGAAUACGUUCCCGGGCCUUGUACACACCGCCCGUCACACCACGAAAGUUUGUAACACCCGAAGUCGGUGAGGUAACCGCAAGGAGCCAACCGCCUAAGGUGGGAUAGAUGAUUGGGGUGAAGUCGUAACAAGGUAACCAAGGGCGAAUUCUG
rnacentral:rRNA from 1 species